CAUAAACUUUACUUAUUCCUAGUAGUUUCUUUCCUCAAUCUCUGUCCCACAUCAUUCUGCUUUGUUUGGGUCAUGAACUUUCCGUGAAUAUAUAAACCAUGCAUGUGCCACAAUCAACGAAGUCUCAAGGAAGCAACAUGAACCCACCAAAACAAAAACUUUACUCUUUUUGAAGUUAAGGGCACCACCUAUUUUUCAAAAGUAAUGAAACGCUUUAGGUGUGAUAUGCAAUAGAAAUAUGUAAUGGUAAAUUGUUAACAACAGAAUAAAUUUAAUAUAACAGAUAUGGAAAUAUUGUGUUGAAUAAGUAGACACAAUAAACAACAUGAAGUUAGUAUUACGUGCAUUAGCUAAAAAAUUAGAGUAUUAUCUAUUGUAGGAAAGAUGAUAGAAUCAAUUCUUGAAUAAUUUGAGCUUAUGGUUAGAAGAUAAGUAGACGAAAUGAAUAUUAGUUCAAUCUUUAGAGACAGAUAGAGACCGAAAAAACUACAAGCGAAACGAUUAUAAAAAACAUAGAGAUAACAUUUUAAUUAUUAUUCUUAAUCUAUAAUAAAAUAUUAUAACAAUCCAUGUAGUUAGCCGACUCCGAUAGAACUAAAGUUUAGUUUAGAUUGUAUAAACUUAAGGCAAUAACCUGAUUUGGUACGAAGUGGUUGGGGCCUUGGGUUGCAUAGAUGUAUGGUUGAGAGAGCAUCAUCUUUUGCAAAAGUUGCUUUGGGGCUUUUUAAAUUUCCUUUGCAAAACUUUCUU
rnacentral:lncRNA from 1 species